UGUGCGUGCGUGUGCGUGCGUGUGCGUGCGUGUGCGUGCGUGUGCGUGCGUGUGCGUGUAUGUGUGUGUGUGUGUGUGUGUGUUAGCGGAGGGUGUAACAGUCCCGAGAUCUGAUUUAUUUUUCUUUUUUUCUUUUGUUUAUUUUGUUUAUUUUGUUUUUCCUACAUAAAAUUCCUGCGUUCAUUAUUUAACACGUUCAGUCCAGUUCAGUCCAAAGCCAGUUCCACCACGUCAUCAAUUCAUCAAUCAAUAUAUUGAUCUAUUAUUAUUAUUUUUGUUUGUUUUAAAUAAAGACGUCUGUUGAAGUACCUUACGUCACAUCAGUCAUCAGUCUUUUACAUUCACACACAAAAACACCAGAUAAUAAAAUACGACAGAGCGAUAUAGAUAUAUUUAUAUAUUAUAUAAAUGUGUGUAUAUACUCAACGACUAUUGUUUCCAGGAUGUAUUAUUAGAGUGCAUGAUGAUUAUGAUGAGAUAUUAUUAUAUAUUGUGGGGUUUAGGGGUUUGGGGUUUAGACGAAACAUCGCCGUUAUUUGAGGAGGGAUGAUGCAAAAACGUCUAUUUUUCCUUUAUUCUUUCUUUGAUUUGUUUUUUGUUUUAUAUUAUUUCCGAGUCUUUUGUUAGCAGAGCUAGGUGAGAUGAUGUGUGCUGUGGUUUGGUACGGUGCACCUUUACCUGCCAAGAUAAAGGUGGAGGUCAGUAAUCGAGACCCUCACAUAACCCUGUGUUCACACUGGUAGGAGGCGAGUUAAAUUUUCUCAAUUUUUUUAAUUAUGCCUGAAUUUUUCCAAAUAUUCAUCAUAUAUAACAAACAGAGCAUCAUCUGCUGCUAAAAUAAGCCUCUCAGUAGAUCAUGCUGCUGCUUCUCCAUCAGCAGCCGGAGUCUGAGAGAGAGAGAGAGAGAGAGAGAGAGUACAGUAGAUCAUGCUGUUUCUCCAUCAGCAGCCGGAGUCUGAGAGAGAGAGAGUACAGUAGAUCAUACUGUUUCUCCAUCAGCAGCCGGAGUCUGAGAGAGAGAGAGAGAGAGAGAGAGAGUACAGUAGAUCAUGCUGUUUCUCCAUCAGCAGCCGGAGUCUGAGAGAGAGAGAGUACAGUAGAUCAUACUGUUUCUCCAUCAGCAGCCGGAGUCUGAGAGAGAGAGAGUACAGUAGAUCAUGCUGCUGUUUCUCCAUCAGCAGCCGGAGUCUGAGAGAGAGAGAGAGAGAGAGAGAGUACAGUAGAUCAUGCUGUUUCUACAUCAGCAGCCGGAGUCCGAGAGACAGAGAGAGAGAGAGAGAGAUAGAGAGAGAGAGAGAGAGAGAGAGUAGAGUAGAUCAUGCUGCUUCUCCAUCAGCAGCCGGAGUCCGAGAGACAGAGAGAGAGAGAGAGAGAGAGAGAGAGAGAGAGAGAGUAGAGUAGAUCAUGCUGUUUCUCCAUCAGCAGCCGGAGUCCGAGAGACAGAGAGAGAGAGAGAGAGAGAGAGAGAGAGAGAGAGAGUAGAGUAGAUCAUGCUGUUUCUCCAUCAGCAGCCGGAGUCUGAGAGAGAGAGAGAGAGAGAGAGAGAGAGAGUACAGUAGAUCAUGCUGCUUCUCCAUCAGCAGCCGGAGUCUGAGAGAGAGAGAGUACAGUAGAUCAUGCUGCUUCUCCAUCAGCAGCCGGAGUCUGAGAGAGAGAGAGUACAGUAGAUCAUGCUGCUUCUCCAUCAGCAGCCGGAGUCCGAGAGAGAGAGAGAGAGAGAGAGAGAGUACAGUAGAUCAUGCUGCUGUUUCUCCAUCAGCAGCCGGAGUCUGAGAGAGAGAGAGUACAGUAGAUCAUGCUGUUUCUCCAUCAGCAGCCGGAGUCUGAGAGAGAGAGAGUACAGUAGAUCAUGCUGCUUCUCCAUCAGCAGCCGGAGUCCGAGAGAGAGAGAGAGAGAGAGAGAGAGUACAGUAGAUCAUGCUGCUGUUUCUCCAUCAGCAGCCGGAGUCUGAGAGAGAGAGAGAGAGAGUACAGUAGAUCAUGCUGCUUCUCCAUCAGCAGCCGGAGUCCGAGAGAGAGAACAUUAGGUCAUGCUGCUUCUCUCUGCCUAGUGAUGCUGUGUGAUGAUCUACUGGUCGCAGUUGGAAAAGAGGCGGAGUCUGACAUCACAUGUAUUGGAGGAGGUGUGCACUGGUCCUGAUACUCCUAGUAUUGGAGGUAUUACUAGUGAUACAUCUGUGUUUUAAAGAGGAUAAAAUACUCCCUAAAUAAUCAAAUACCAGCAAUUAUAGAUUUAUACAAAAUUUAACAACCAAUAUUCUUUACUGCAGGUUUAUUAACCCUGUGCAUCUUUAGACUAUAGCGCCACCAUAUGGUGAAAUAAUAAAGCAGCGACUUGAGUAAGUCUUAUUGUUUAAAUAAAAAAAUUAAAAACGUAAAAAUUCAAUUUUGAUGCAAGGUAUCAUAAUAUAAUAUAUCACAAACAAAAAUCGAACGAUAUAUCGUGAUAUUGAUAAAUUGUUCCACCUCUGGAACAAAAAUCUUGUGUUGCUUGGUUCUCGCUAUCUUUAUAUCGCAAUAUCUGUCAAUCUCUGUCGCCACCUAGUGUGAACGCAGGGUAAGUGGUGGGCGAUUUAUGAAUAUUCAGACUAUUUUUCGCCCCUAAAUUGAUUUAAAUUAAAUUAAAAUUUAAAUAUUGGUAUUGGGACACUUUUUUCAGCUACAUGAGAAAUAAAAAAUAAAAACAGGCUUUUACAGAUUCAGAUUCCACCAAUCAAACCGGAGCAUCGCGUGCCCUCCAUGAAGUGUGUGUGUGUGUGUGUAUUUGUGUGUGUGUGUGUGUGUGUGUGUGAGAUGGUUAACUGGGGAUUAAUUGGUAUCUUCUGGUCUGUUGCUUCAUCUAGUCCUCUGUUCUGAGCCAAUCAGGAGUUCUCGCUCUGUGUGCAACUGCAGUUCAACUGGAAAUUACUAUUAUUGCUAUUAUUAUUGUUAUUAAAAUGACAUUAUUAUCAUUAUUAUUAUCAAUAUUUUAUUAUCAACACAAGUACAUAUGUAUUAACCGUCUUGAGGUGUUUUGCAGUUUCUGUAUUUAUUGUAACUGCUGUUUUUUCUCAUUGAAAACUUGACAUUUUCUUUUUAAUUAUAAAGGUAUGUGUGUGUGUGUGUGUGUGUGUGUGUGUGCACGCGAGAGUGAAUGUGAGUGUUGUUUGAAUGUGUUAGCUCACGCAAAAAAUGACUGUGUGUGUGUGUGUGUGUGUGUUAGAGUUUGGACACUCGUAGCGGACACUUCUCUGAAAGUCGUGACUCUGAAGCCUAAUUUGUGCCUCUUUAUAGAAAUAAAACCAGACCUACGAUUCAUUAAACAAAAUACACAAAAAACUACAAAUCCCACAAUGCUUUGUGUGGCAGAUCCGUGCUUUGCUACCCUCAGGUUCUGGAUGGUGGGGUGGGUGGGUGGAGGGAUAAGUGAGUGUGUGUGAGUGUGUGUGAGUGUGUGUGAGUGUGUGUGAGUGUGUGUGAGUGUGUGUGUGUGUGUGUGUGUGUGUGUGUGUGUGUGUGUGUGUGCUGCUUUGGGUUACUGGUUCUUUUUAUGCAAAAAAAAAAAAAAAAAAGAAAACAAAAAUAAGAAGCUCUGUUUGGUGAAGACAGUGAGAUGAUUUGAUAUAUUUUUUUUUUGGGAUUUAUUAUAAUUAUCCCUCCCAUGGUGUGUGUGGGUGUGUGUGUAUUAAUGUGUGUGUGCGCGCGAGUGUGUGUAUUAAUGUGUGUGUGUUUGAGAGCAGUGUAUAAAGAAUGAAUAAUGAGCUGAUUCCCCUGUAAUUGUUAUACUGUAUGAUUUAAUCCAUAUGAUAAAGGUUCCCCUCUA